rnacentral:sRNA from 1 species
UGACCGUGUGACUCAGCUUCCGGCAGAGGA